rnacentral:lncRNA from 1 species
CCAUGAAGCGUAUAAUAACCAACCUAGCAUGAAUCGUGCUUGUAAAUAUUCGUUUUCUAUUUGAAUUAGGGAUAGAAUUCUAGUCAGUUAAGGAGUCAUCUGUACGGGGCUAUAAAUAGCUACCUUUGUAAAUCUGUAAUCAUCAACAAAUCAAUACAACCAACUACUUUUUCCUCGUACUUACUUUCAAGCAGGCGACUUUGCCAGAUACUUUCUCCUUUUUCACGAGUUUGUAC